GUCUAUGUCCAUGCUACCCUGAACAAGCUCGAUCCCGUCUGAUCCUGGUAGCUAAGCAGGGUCAGGCCUGGUUAGUACUUGAAUGGGAAACCACCUAGGAAGACCAGGUGCUAUAAGAG
rnacentral:rRNA from 1 species